UACGUAGGGGGCAAGCGUUGUCCGGAUUUACUGGGCGUAAAGGGCGUGCAGGCGGUCUGUUUAGUCUAGGGUGAAAGCUCCCGGCUCAACUGGGAGAGGUCCUUGGAUACUGGCAGACUUGAGGGAGGCAGAGGAAAGUGGAAUUCCCGGUGUAGUGGUGAUAUGCGUAGAUAUCGGGAGGAACACCAGUGGCGAAGGCGGCUUUCUGGGCCUUACCUGACGCUGAGACGCGAAAGCGUGGGGAGCGAACCGG
rnacentral:rRNA from 1 species